ACUGUGUGUUAUCGUUCAUAGUUGUGCUGCGUUCCAGACACAGUUUUUAGCCCGUAAGUUACGACUUCAAGUCACAACUCACGACUUGGUAGCACUCCAGGGUUAAGGUUAGG